rnacentral:ncRNA from 1 species
GACAGAGGCGCGGGCUUGAUGAGUCCUGCCGGAGAAGGGUGCCGACCCGUCGCGGUGUGCUGAAAACAGCCAUACCGCGGGAAUCCGACAGAAAAGGCAAGACCGCCGAAGCGUUUGCAGGGAACGGCUCCCGCAGAUGCUGGGCGCGUACCGAACAGGUGCGUGACUGUCACAGAGUCACCCGGCAGCGGGCGCUCUGUGGAGUGCUG